AAACGGCUGAGUAACACGUAAGCAACCAACCCUUCAGUGGGGGAUAACACCGAGAAAUCGGUGCUAAUACCGCAUUCGAUGCUUUCCCGAUGGGGAGAGCAUGAAAGCCGCAAGGCGCUGAUGGACGGGCUUGCGUCCUAUCAGGUAGUUGGCGGGGUAACGGCCCACCAAGCCGAAGACGGGUAACUGGUCUGAGAGGGUGACCGGCCACACUGGGACUGAGACACGGCCCAGACUCCUACGGGAGGCAGCAGUGGGGAAUUUUGGACAAUGGGCGCAAGCCUGAUCCAGCAAUGCCGCGUGAGUGAAGAAGGCCUUCGGGUUGUAAACUCCUUUUGG
rnacentral:rRNA from 1 species